GAACGGCAGCACGGAGCUUGCUCUGGUGGCGAGUGGCGAACGGGUGAGUAAUAUAUCGGAACGUACCCUAGAGUGGGGGAUAACGUAGCGAAAGUUACGCUAAUACCGCAUACGAUCUAAGGAUGAAAGUGGGGGAUCGCAAGACCUCAUGCUCGUGGAGCGGCCGAUAUCUGAUUAGCUAGUUGGUAGGGUAAAAGCCUACCAAGGCAUCGAUCAGUAGCUGGUCUGAGAGGACGACCAGCCACACUGGAACUGAGACACGGUCCAGACUCCUACGGGAGGCAGCAGUGGGGAAUUUUGGACAAUGGGCGAAAGCCUGAUCCAGCAAUGCCGCGUGAGUGAAGAAGGCCUUCGGGUUGUAAAGCUCUUUUGUCAGGGAAGAAACGGUGAAAGCUAAUAUCUUUUGCUAAUGACGGUACCUGAAGAAUAAGCACCGGCUAACUACGUGCCAGCAGCCGCGGUAAUACGUAGGGUGCAAGCGUUAAUCGGAAUUACUGGGCGUAAAGCGUGCGCAGGCGGUUUUGUAAGUCUGAUGUGAAAUCCCCGGGCUCAACCUGGGAAUUGCAUUGGAGACUGCAAGGCUAGAAUCUGGCAGAGGGGGGUAGAAUUCCACGUGUAGCAGU
rnacentral:rRNA from 1 species